rnacentral:rRNA from 1 species
CCUACGGGAGGCAGCAGUGGGGAAUUUUGGACAAUGGGCGCAAGCCUGAUCCAGCAAUGCCGCGUGAGUGAAGAAGGCCUUCGGGUUGUAAAGCUCUUUUGUCAGGGAAGAAACGGGACCGGCUAAUAUCUGGUUCUAAUGACGGUACCUGAAGAAUAAGCACCGGCUAACUACGUGCCAGCAGCCGCGGUAAUACGUAGGGUGCAAGCGUUAAUCGGAAUUACUGGGCGUAAAGCGUGCGCAGGCGGUUUUGUAAGUCUGUCGUGAAAGCCCCGGGCUUAACCUGGGAAUUGCGAUGGAGACUGCAAGGCUUGAAUCUGGCAGAGGGGGGUAGAAUUCCACGUGUAGCAGUGAAAUGCGUAGAGAUGUGGAGGAACACCGAUGGCGAAGGCAGCCCCCUGGGUCAAGAUUGACGCUCAUGCACGAAAGCGUGGGGAACAAACAGGAUUAGAUACCCUGGUAGUCCACGCCCUAAGCGAUGUCUACUAGUUGUCGGGUCUUAAUUGACUUGGUAACGCAGCUAACGCGUGAAGUAGACCGCCUGGGGAGUACGGUCGCAAGAUUAAAACCUUAAGGAAUUGACGG